ACGCCGCGCCCCCGGGUCCUAGCGCGCCCGUCUCCCGAGCGCAUGCCCCGGUCCUCCCCGCGUCCUAGUGCGCCCUGCCGCCUGGCAUUUCGCCCUCUAGCGCACGCCACAACCUCUCGUCCCACGUCCCCGGGGCCUAGCGCGCACCGCUAGGUGUCCCCGUUCUCUUAUCGCGCGGCCUCGCCAGGCUCUGAAGAGCCGGCGCCUUUGCCAGGUCUGUGCAAUGGGGCACUGUCCACUGGGCGUCCACCUGACGGCUUGGGCUCAGUGACUUUGGAACCGAAGCGUUCUGUGAGCCGUUAAUGGGACAGGAAAGAGACUUGAUCGCGGGGGUGAGGUCUCGCGCCCACGAGGCCUCCACCCGGCCUCUUGGGACCCAGCGCGCAGGCAGGGAUGGGCCGGCAGGACAGCGGAAGCAGGGGCCCCGACCAAGCCAACCACCCCGCAUCGGGACCGUGGUGGGGGUCAGGUCCCAGACUCUGGCAGCUGGUCGGUGGGUGCCUGUCUUCCCGCCCAGGCGCUGGUGAGUGGGCGGAAGAGGCCAGGGGGUCCGGGAGAAGGCGUCCCUCUCUCCACUUGAGUGCCCCAGGGCAGGCUUGUCAUUGACUGCCCAGAGCAGGUCCUGGUUUGAUGACCCACCAGGCCCCAGGUGGGAGUGUUGCCCUGUCCAGUUCCCAGGCCCCAGCCCAAAGCUUCUAAAGAGCUGACCCUGGUGAUGUGUAGAUGUCGCAGAUUCCCAUGUCUUGAGUAUGGGGGUGGCCACAGCGCUAUAUCACUGUGGGAGAUAAUGCUGUCCAUGCUGCACUAGGCAGGUCCCCUGCAGCAGACUGCCCAUACAGGAGGCCACCCUCCUCCCUCAUACAGCUUUCUGGGUCCCAGAGGGCCUGACCUGGUCCCCCUUGGUGGAAGGACACCAGCUCAGCCAUGGCGCUGGUGUUCUCCUCUCCACCCACUUUGCGUUCUUGCACCUGGACUUUAUCCUCAUUUCUGCCUCUCUGCCCACCAAGGCCAAGUUCAAAAGAGAGCCGCAAGUACCAAGGGGUGGGUUUGGAGCACCAGCAGAGACCACCAGCUGCACCCCACUCAUUUGGCAGGCCCACCGAGGUCACCCUGAGGCACCAGGGUCUGGAGUGUUGAAAUUCCCAGCUCUAGGCUUGCGUGGUGGGAAGAGGCCUGGGACUCAGGCCUGGCUGUCUGGAUGGGUUCGGGGUUCUCCCAGAACACGUCCUCUUCAGUAGGAGGAAAUGUGCACCCUUUGCCCUGCUGUCUCUGCUCAGGACUGGAGGGAAGGGGACCAAAGAGGGGAAGGCAAUGCUGACCCCGUGGCAGCCACAGGGUGGCCUGUGGGGAGAGGAAGGUGCCUGAAACCCUAGCCCCUGGUGGGUGGUGGGAAUUAGCACCGCCCUCUGAUCACCCGCAGAGGCCUGUGCUCAGUCCACACUGUGCAUGGCUGAGAGGCCAGAAGCAGGAGAGUAGAGCGGGAGUCCAUGCUGGCAGGGCCUGGGCCUCCCCGCGUCCCGGGCUGUGCUUGGAGAACAGCCAGCUUUGGUGUUGUCACAGCCAUUCCGAGCAUGCUGCUGGGGGCGGGUCUAUCCUGACACUGUGGGCCCUCAGCCUGGGUGGCUGUCCGCGGAAGCUCCCUCUGUUCAUCCAAGCAUCCAGAGGGGGGGGCUUCUUGAGGUGAGCUGUGGAGGGUCUUCGGAGGAGACUGAGGGAGAGGGGUCCACAUGGCCCUAGGAGCAGUGACCAGGGCUUGUACCAAACCAGAGGGGCCCUUGGGCCCUUAAGAAGAGAAAUGAGCUUGGCUUGAAACUAUUUGCUAGUCUGGGGAGGGAAGGCCCUCUUGGGUCCCCAACCAGAUGCAUACGCAGAGGAGUUUGGUCUGAAGUGGAGCAGGAUCAAUCAUCCCAACCAGAUGGAAGUAGGAACCUGGUCACAGGCAAGAGGAGGAAGUGCUGGAGGAAAGGCUCGGCUCAGUCUUUCCUGACCCCAAGGGGCCAACAGGACCCUUUCCUUCAGGACUCUGGCCAUCUGAUUUUGGGAAGAUGGGGUGGCCCACUGGGACACAGCCAGAGGACAGGUCUGGGGGGCAGGCAGCAGCAUCCCCAGCAUGCACAGUGCCGUGGCUACUUCUACAGGAUGCUGACCGGUGCCACCUCCCCUUGCAGAAGGUCAGCCUCGCACAAAGGGCCAUGGGUUUACAACACAGAACUCUUCCCAGACAGGACUGGCUCUGAAAUGCCCUGCAAGGCUGUGGCCCAGAGCACCUGUGGGCUCUCCUGUGUCCACCUCUGUUCUGCUUGAGCCCAGGGGCUGGUGUGCACAGCCCCUGCCUGGACACUCUGUGGCCCGUGACAUUUCCCUUCACUAGCCAGGAUGCAAGGCAAGUGCAGGAGCUGGACUCGUGGGCACUGCCCAAAUCAGUGGGCUCCCAGGUAACUCGGGGACAUCUCUGCAUGCGAGGGUGAGGGGACAGGAAUGAGGCCAGCAUCAGUGAGCUUUCUGGGGUCACCUGGCUGCCAGGUGCGGCUUGCCAUUGUGCAGAAGUGCUGGGAAGUGAGGGCCUGAGCCGAGGGGCCAGGACCUGGUCUCCAGGAGCAGCAGCCUGGAGGCAGCGGCCCAGGCCACAGGGUGACUUCCCUGAACUGUGAGACGCUGAGUGCCACCUGGAGGCAGGCCAAGGGAGGUGUCCGGGUCAGGGGAGGUAGGCUCUCGGGGGACAGGGUGCAUCAGCCACACCUUUUGUUUUCUGCACACCUGGGCUGGGCUGCCCUGGACAGGCUGCCCCUCCUAGGGCUGGCUAACUCUGGGAUUGGCCAACGACGUCAUGUUCAAAGCACCCAACCUGCGCCCCUCUAUCUGCUGGCCCAUGUGGGGCCACCACCCACCUGCCCAGUCACCCCAGGGCAGCCAGGGACAGCUCUGUGUCCAGCACCUGCUGAAGGUAUUCAGACUGGCUGAUCCUAAGCCCCCUACCUGCCCUGCCUGCUCCUUCCUGUGGAGGCCACAGUGGGGUGCUGCCCGUUGCUCCCUCUGCCUGCACUGACCCUGGUGCACCCUGAGAGGCCCUGCCUGGUGUGGGGAGCCCCC
rnacentral:lncRNA from 1 species